CACGUAGUGGUCCCUUUGGCAGGCGACUCCUCAGCAGGCUUCGGAGAGGAGAAAGCUGCGAUCCCGUCAAUACUAUAUUAAUUGGAUAUAAUGAAAGGAAACAAUAGGACAGGAACGGAUUUAUUUUGUCUAGAACAUGGUGUCAAAAUCAGUGGUGGGUUUCUACCAGUUCACCCCAGUUCUGGUGAACUGGCAGUGGUGGCAACAGGAGGCUCUGCCAACUCGUCCGGACGUCACCACAGAUGCUCUGCGCAUGCGUAGAAGGUUCUGCGCAUGCACAGAAGCGCCAUGCGCAAGCUCAUAGUUCUGAACCGGUAGUGAAGUUCUUGGGACGGUGCCAAAAUGUGUGCUGAUGUUUGACAACAGUGAAGAGGAGAGUCCACGGGUCACACAGAAUCAUUGUGGAGGAUAUGUCCUGGUCAUUGUCCACCUUUUUCUGAGACCUCCUUAACACACUGCUUUUUGAGACUGUUGCUUUGGUCUUGUGACUGUUUUGCAGGCCUGGGCAAAGCGUCAAUCAAGGCUUCAACAAAAUACCUUUUGAUUCGGUUCACUGAUGCAGAGCAGCCUCCUGCUAUUCAGCGCCACAUUGGAGAUUGUGCUCUGCACUGCAUCAGCUCUUCAUUGACCUUCAAGAUGCAAAUAUUUCCAUGAAGUAAAAGAACCAGGAAGAUGGCAACCUCAAAGGUGGGGAUACAAAGUGUUAAAGUAGAAGGCCUUUCUUUGCUAGAUGCUAUCUUGAAGUAGAUGCCUUCAGCAAUUAAAAUCAAGGGUGACUCCCAAAAAAAACUCUUUCUUCUCUUCCUCCUGUUGUAGUCAUUCAUUAUUGGUUUAUAGGGGUUAAAACAAUGCUCAGAAUUUAAUUUUACUUUCUCUUCUAUUCUUAACUGUUUACCCAUUGAGGAAGCAAAAGAAAUGUGAUUCUAAUUUAUUUAUUUAUUUAUUUAUUAUUCACAUUUUUAUACCGCCCUUCUCCGAAGACUCAGGGCGGUGUACAGCAAAUAAAACGACAAUAAUACAAAAACCAUUUAAAAUACCAUAACAAAAUUAAAAAUCUAAUUAAACUGCUGUAUACUUAAAACUAUUAGAUAAAAAUACAAAGAUAAAACCCCUGUUAAAAGCCCGCUAAAAUCCCCAAUUAUUAAAAUCAAUCAAUCAGGCCAGCCCCGCUUGGUGAAAAAAGAAAGUCUUGAGCUCGCGUUUAAAGGUCCAAAGAUCAGGGAGAAGACGGAGUCCCACCGGCAGCUCGUUCCACACAUGAUGUUUUUCCUUAGUUAUUUUGGAUGAUUAUGCAACUGAUUAUGAUUAUGGCCCUCAAUGAAACUCUAUUUCAUUGAGGGCCACAUCAGGGUUGUGUUUGACCUCAAGGAGAUGGAAGUAAGUGUGGCUGGAAUAGGUGUGGUCAGGAUGGGCAUGGCCAGAUUGAUGUCACUUGUUGAGGCUCCAUUUUCACUGGCAGAGGGCUGCAGGAGGCCAUCGUGGCCAAAAACGGAGCGUGGGAGUGCUGCACGCAACCCUUCCUAUCUCCAUUUCUGCUCGCAGAGGCACUGUGGGCCAAUCCUUUGCUGUUACCACAGCAGCCCUGCAGGCCAGAUCUAAGCACUUCACAGGCCGGAUCUGGCCUCUAGGCCUUGGGUUUGACAUCCCUGCUGUAAUUCAAAGAACUGAUUUUUUUUUGAAAUCCACCAAAUAUGCAUUGGUGUUUUUACCCAUCCACUGUGAAUAUGGGGUUAUGAAAAUGGGUGAUACUUCGUAAAAAUUUACUGUCCUUGGUCUGAACCAGUGGAACUUCUACUCUCUGCAUCCAAUCACAUAUGCCCAAAGUUCUGUGUGGCAGAGGCAAAAGUUAUUGACAUAAGAUUCAUCUGAGCAACUUUGUGUAAGUCGUCUGUUUGAUUUAUUACAGCAUUACAUUUUUGGUUAUGAGGGAAAGAACAAGAGGGAGAGUAUUUUUAGUUUAAUUUAUAUAACAGAUUCAGACUCUGAGACUCAAAAAUAUUACACAUAAAAACGUAUUUUAGUAAAGAUUUUUUAGUUUUAUUCUGUCUUCAAUAAAGUAGGAAAAACAAUAUAAUUAUGUAUUGGGAAUUGCAGAUUUAUUUCUUUGUAUGGCAUAUAUUAUACUAGUUAGAUAUGCAGUGCAUGAAAACAAUAUUAG